GGCACAGGACUUGCCAAGUAAUCACCACAGGUAACCAACGGCGGUUGCCCCUACGACGAAGACGUCGC
rnacentral:ncRNA from 1 species